CCUACGGGAGGCAGCAGUGAGGAAUAUUGGUCAAUGGCCGGAAGGCUGAACCAGCCAUGCCGCGUGAAGGUCAGUGCCCUAUGGGCGUUAAACUUCUUUUGUGCGGGAGCAAUAAUGGUCACGUUUGGCCAGACGAGAGUACCGUCCGAAUAAGCAUCGGCUAAUUCCGGGCCAGCAGCCGCGGUAAUACGGAAGGUCCGGGCGUUAUCCGGAUUUAUUGGGUUUAAAGGGGGAGUAGGCCGCAUGUCAAGCGUGCUGUGAAAUGUCCGGGGUCAACCCGGGCCUUGCAGCGCGAACUGGGGUGCUGGAGUCCGCGGAAAGCAGGCGGAAUGCGUCGUGUAGCGGUGAAAUGCUUAGAGAUGACGAAGAACCCCGAUUGCGAAGGCAGCUUGCUGCAGCGGAACUGACGCUGAUGCUCGAAAGCGCGGGUAUCGAACAGGAUUAGAUACCCCAGUAGUC
rnacentral:rRNA from 1 species